GGUUAAAAACUGAGGGGAUGAGCUGUGGAUAGGGGUGAAAGGCCAAUCAAACUUCGUGAUAGCUGGUUCUCUCCGAAAUGCAUUUAGGUGCAGCGUUGCGUGGUUCUUGUUGGAGGUAGAGCACUGGAUGGUCUAGGGGGCUUAUCGGCUUACCGAAAUCAGCCAAACUCCGAAUGCUGGCAAGUGUAGCGUGGCAGUGAGACGGCGGGGGAUAAGCUUCGUCGUCGAGAGGGAAACAGCCCAGAUCAUCAGCUAAGGCCCCUAAGUGGUGACUCAGUGGGAAAGGAUGUGGAGUUGCGUAGACAACCAGGAGGUU
rnacentral:rRNA from 1 species